ACUCCUACGGGAGGCAGCAGUGGGGAAUAUUGCACAAUGGGCGCAAGCCUGAUGCAGCAACGCCGUGUGAGUGAAGAAGGUUUUCGGAUCGUAAAACUCUGUCCUAAAGGGAAGAAACAAAUGACGGUACCUUAGGAGGAAGCCCCGGCUAACUACGUGCCAGCAGCCGCGGUAAUACGUAGGGGGCAAGCGUUAUCCGGAAUCACUGGGCGUAAAGGGUGCGUAGGCGGCUUAGCAAGCCAGGGGUGAAAGGCAUUGGCUCAACCAAUGUAAGCCUUUGGAACUGGCAGGCUAGAGUCUUGUAGAGGGGGGUAGAAUUUCAGGUGUAGCGGUGAAAUGCGUAGAGAUCUGAAGGAAUACCAGUGGCGAAGGCGGCCCCCUGGACAAAGACUGACGCUCAGAUGCGAAAGC
rnacentral:rRNA from 1 species